rnacentral:rRNA from 1 species
CUUGGUCAUUUAGAGGAAGUAAAAGUCGUAACAAGGUUUCCGUAGGUGAACCUGCGGAAGGAUCAUUACCUUUUCCAACACGAGAUCCGUCCCCGGGGGGAGGCAACCCCUUCCCGGGCGGCGGUCCCGCGUUUCCACCCUCUUUUACGAGCACCUUUCCUUCUUCCUCGGCGGGGCGACCCGCCGGCGGAACCAACCACGAACCCUUUAUUGCAUCGAAAGAAGUACUGUUCUGAUAAACCAAAAUCGUUACAACUUUCAACAAUGGAUCUCUUGGCUCUGGCAUCGAUGAAGAACGCAGCGAAAUGCGAUACGUAGUGUGAAUUGCAGAAACCAGUGAAUCAUCGAAUCUUUGAACGCACAUUGCGCCCCUCGGUAUUCCGUGGGGCAUGCCUGUUCGAGCGUCAUUUACAACCCUUCAAGCUCUGCUUGGUGUUGGGCGUUUGUCCGCGCCUCUCCGCGCGUGGACUCGCCCCAAAGGCAUUGGCAGCCCCGGCCGACGAACGCCCUCGCAGCACAACUUGCGCAGGGACCGGCGGCGUCGGGUGGCGACCCAUCAAGAUCUCCUUCCACGUUUGACCUCGGAUCAGGUAGGGAUACCCGCUGAACUUAAGCAUAUCAAUAAGCGGAGGA